rnacentral:rRNA from 1 species
AUUGAACGCUGGCGGCAGGCCUAACACAUGCAAGUCGAACGAGUGGCGGACGGGUGAGUAAUGUCUGGGACACUGCCUGAUGGAGGGGGAUAACUACUGGAAACGGUAGCUAAUACCGCAUACCAUCAGAUGUGACACAAUGGGAUUAGCUUGUUGGUGGGGUAACGGCGCACCAAGGCGACGAUCCCUAGCUGGUCUGAGAGGCUGACCAGCCACACGGGAACUGAUACACGGUCCAGACUCCUACGUGAUGCAGCAUUGGGGAAUAUUGCACAAUGGGCGCAAGCCUGAUGCAGCCAUGCCGCGUGUAUGAUGAAGGCCUUCGGGGUGUAAAGUACUUUCAGCGUGGAGGCGUUACCCGCAGAAGAAGCACCGGCUAACUCCGUGCCAGCCGCCGCGGUAAUAC